GACGUAGGGCGCAAGCGUUGUCCGGAUUUAUUGGGCGUAAAGAGCUCGUAGGCGGCUUGUUGCGUCGACCGUGAAAACCCGUGGCUCAACUGCGGGCUUGCGGUCGAUACGGGCGGGCUAGAGUUCGGUAGGGGAGACUGGAAUUCCUGGUGUAGCGGUGAAAUGCGCAGAUAUCAGGAGGAACACCGGUGGCGAAGGCGGGUCUCUGGGCCGAUACUGACGCUGAGGAGCGAAGGCGUGGGGAGCGAACAGG
rnacentral:rRNA from 1 species